rnacentral:rRNA from 1 species
GUGGGGAAUAUUGGACAAUGGGCGAAAGCCUGAUCCAGCAAUGCCGCGUGAGUGAAGAAGGCCUUCGGGUUGUAAAGCUCUUUUACCCGGGAAGAUAAUGACUGUACCGGGAGAAUAAGCCCCGGCUAACUCCGUGCCAGCAGCCGCGGUAAUACGGAGGGGGCUAGCGUUGUUCGGAAUUACUGGGCGUAAAGCGCACGUAGGCGGUCUUUUAAGUCAGAGGUGAAAGCCCGGGGCUCAACUCCGGAAUUGCCUUUGAAACUGGAAGACUUGAACACGGGAGAGGUGAGUGGAAUUCCGAGUGUAGAGGUGAAAUUCGUAGAUAUUCGGAAGAACACCAGUGGCGAAGGCGACUCACUGGCCCGUUACUGACGCUGAGGCGCGAAAGCGUGGGGAGCAAACAGGAUUAGAAACCCCAGUAGUCC